rnacentral:rRNA from 1 species
UACGGAGGGUGCGAGCGUUGUUCGGAAUCACUGGGCGUAAAGCGCGUGUAGGCGGCCUCUUAAGUCCGAUGUGAAAGCCCGGGGCUCACCCCCGGAAGUGCAUCGAAUACUGGGAGACUCGAGUACCGGAGAGGAAGGUGGAAUUCCUGGUGUAGCGGUGAAAUGCGCAGAUAUCAGGAGGAACACCGAUGGCGAAGGCAGGUCUCUGGGCCACUACUGACGCUGAGAAGCGAAAGCAUGGGGAGCGAACAGG